GUCAAAACCAGGGCCUGCAGGGUCAGUGUUCAGGUCAGGGUCUAGGCCAGGGCCAGACCAGCUCCAGGGUUCCCAUCAGAGUGCCACUCGCAGGUAGGCAUUGGCACUGCGAGCUGGGUUCUGUUGGGGAAUCUCAACAGUAUGUGUCAUCCAAUAAAAAAUGUAUGGCUGAGACAUUUCAGGACAGCAACUGUUAUUGCAAAUGCAUUAGGACUUUACAUUACCAACCUUCUCAUUUUGAAAAUGCUUUUUCUGGCCUGUUACCACUACAUCGCAUUCUCUCUCUGGUUUGUCUUCAUGUGGUUGUGUUUGAAGCUCCGGUGACUGGUCCAUCUCCGACCAUAGCUAAAUCCCAGUCCCAGCCUCUACCUGUCCUUCAGCGAGGAGGGUUUGUGCGUCGUGAGAAUGGAGGUCGCAGAGACACAGUUCGAGGUGGCGACACUGCGCUGCAAACAACGAGUUGAACACCAGGACCGAGCGCUGAAGGAGCUACAGGAGAGCCUCAAUGCAGAGAGAGGAACAACUACAGGGCCAGGAGGAGAACAAGAAGCUGCACUCUGAGAGGGAGGCCCACCUCAAACGCAUCCAGCAGCUCUCUGAGAUGGCCAGGACCAACGCGUCAGUGACCAGAGCCCGGUACAGAACCUGAGGGAGACCAUGUGCAAGGUGACCACCGAGAGGGAAGCUACCAAGAAGGAGCUGGACGCCAAGAACCUGGACAUCCAGGAGAAGGCCAAGACCAUCACGCAGGUCAAGAUGAGCGGCCGCCGUUACAAGACCCUGUACGAGACGCUGUAGAUGCAGCAUGACAAGCUGGUGGCAGAAGCAGCAGCCAAGCCAGGAGGAGGUGCAACAGGCUCAACUGCAGGUGCAACAGGCUCAACUGCAGGUCCAGCAGGCUCAACUGCAGGUGCAAGAGGCUCAACUGCAGGUGCAACAGGCUCAACUGCAGGUCCAGCAGGCUCAACUGCAGGUGCAACAGGCUCAACUGCAGGUCCAGCAGGCUCAACUGCAGGUCCAGCAGGCUCAACUGCAGGUCCAGCAGGCUCAGCAGGCCUCAGACCAGGAGAUCCAGAGCCUGAAGAAGUCCCUCAGCCAAGCCCAAGACCACAAUCAACCUGGAGGGACAACUGGAGUACGUACAGAAGACGGUGAGUGAGCGCGACAUGGAGAUGGGGCGUCUGAUGCAGGAGGUGACCCGCCUCCCGGAGCAGUCUGCCCAGGCCCAGGGGGUGGUGACCGGGCUGAGACAGGAGGUGACCCGCCUCCUGGAGCAAUCUGCCCAGGUCUAGGGGGCAGUUACCGGGCUGAGACAGGAGGUGACUUGACUCCCGGAGCAGUCUGCCCAGGCCCAGGGGAAGGUGACCGGGCUGAGACAGGAGGUGACCCGCCUCCCGGAGCAGUCGGCCCAGGCCCAGGGGGAGGUGACCGGGCUGAGACAGGAGCUGCAGGAGAAGACGGCCCCGGAGAAGCCGCUACGGCAACAGAUGGCCGCCAAGGAGGAGAAGACCAUUAAGGUCUCCAUGGGUUCCAAGCAGAAGCUCAACCAGCUCAACAUUACAAAGGAGCAGCUGGCCAAGGAGGUGGAGGAUAUGAAGCUGCAGCAGGAGGAGUGGGUGGAGCGUCUGAGCUCCCUCAAGUCCCGGUAUGAGGGCCGUCUCCACCUACAGAACCGAGAGAUCAGGGAACUCAAAGACCACCCCAUUUAACAACCUCAGAGGGACGAGCCCCACAACCAGGGUAACAAUAAGCCUCAGCCUGGACCCCCAUCAGGGUUGCCUGCCCCAGUCCGUUCCGCGCUGCCCCCCUGCCCCCAGUCCUCUACAUUCAGCCUCCUGGUCCUGUGCUGGGCCUGGGACCCCAACCCACACAGAGGCUGUCUGCAAUUUAGGACUGGCUUCGGGACAAGUCUCUGAAUGUCCUUGAGUGGCCCAGCCAGAUCUCUGGAGAGACCUGGAAAUAUCUGUGCAGCAACUCUCCCCAUCCAACCUGACAGAGCUUGAGAGGACCUGCAGAGAAGAAUGAGAGAAACUCCCCAAAUACAGUACCAGUGGUGAAGCGUCAAAGGAUAGCCAGGCUGAGAUGGACUCUGUCCAGCCGUCAGACGAUGCCAGUCUUUCUUCCACAAGCCAGGAGCCCACCUCCAGCUCGGCCGCAGUGUGAAGGCCAAGCCCUCCGGCCGCCCCAUUGCCCAGCACUCUCUGCCCAUGACGACAGCCAAAGGACGCAGGCAGCCGUCUCCCCAGAGGAGAUGAGCGUUCAUCCCCAUUGACUUUUUAAGUCUUGAAGCCACUUUUAACCCAGAACAACAUGGUAUGGGCUUGAAGACUCCCUUUCGGUAGAGGAAACCUACCCUGCUAAUGAUGUCAUCAUGGACUGCUCCAUUCCCUUACUCCCAAGUCUCAAUCAUAGUGUCUUAGUCUAAUAAAAAAAAAUCCUAUCCAAUUUGUGAUCGUAAGAGAGAGAGCAAUGAAUGGUUAGAUUCUUUCUUCCCAAUUUUGUAUCAGCAGAUACCAUGUGCUUUAAAAGUGUACAUUUUAUUAAUUUAUUUUCAAGAAGAAGAACUGUUCUGUUGCUUUUGUUUUCCUAAUAUGGAAAAAAAGAAAAUAGUUGCCAUAGGUGUGCUCUGUGCGUUGUUGGUCCAUCCAUAGGGAAUGCUCUAGAUACACUUGAGCCACUUCUUGAUGGAGUUUUGGCGGGGAUCAGCAUUGUCUGGUUUGGCCAGAGCAGGCAGAUCACCAGAGAUCUUGAUGUUAAAGUACAGAGCUAAAAAAGGGAAUAGUGUUCGUGUUAACAUAUUGACUUAAAGUUUUACCAGACCCUUUUUAAACAGAACAGCUGCAGUUGCACAGGAUAUUUAAGAAUUGCAUGUCAAGGCAAUGUUUUACGCAUCUGACAAAUACAGCAGAAUAUAUUAGUAAUACUUCAUUAUCGUACUGGAUCAUGACUUGUUUAUUUUGGACUUUAUAUAUAAAUAAUGGGGCCAAUGUCUGACAUUGGGUUCAACAUUUCAAAAUGGUUUUAAAUUAAAAAAAGAUUUCCAUGC